rnacentral:rRNA from 1 species
CUACGGGCGGCACCAGUGAGGAAUAUUGCACAAUGGGGGGAACCCUGAUGCAGCAACGCCGCGUGGAGGAUGACGCAUUUCGGUGUGUAAACUCCUUUUAUAUGUCAAGAAAAUGACGGUAGCAUAUGAAUAAGCACCGGCUAACUCCGUGCCAGCAGCCGCGGUAAUACGGAGGGUGCAAGCGUUACUCGGAAUCACUGGGCGUAAAGGACGCGUAGGCGGGUUGGAAAGUCAGGUGUGAAAUCCUACAGCUUAACUGUAGAACUGCACUUGAAACUUCUAAUCUAGAGUAUGGGAGGGGGAGAUGGAAUUAGUGGUGUAGGGGUAAAAUCCGUAGAUAUCACUAGGAAUACCUAAAGCGAAGGCGAUCUCCUGGAACAUUACUGACGCUAAGGCGUGAAAGCGUGGGGAGCAAACAGGAUUAGAUACCCUCGUAGUU